rnacentral:rRNA from 1 species
CCUAACACAUGCAAGUCGAACGGGAAGCGGUGCAUAUUGCUUCGGUGAUAAUGUGCCGUGGAGAGUGGCGAACGGGUGCGUAACACGUAGGUAACCUGCCCUGAAAGGGGGGAUAACCACGGGAAACUGUGGCUAAUACCGUAUAAUCUCGCCGUGGCGGUGGUUACGGUGAGGAAAGCUGAGGCGAUUUGGGAGGGGCCUGCGGUCGAUUAGCUGGUUGGUGGGGUAAAGGCCCACCAAGGCGAUGAUCGACAACUGUUCUGAGAGGAAGACCAGCCACACGGGAACUGAGACACGGUUCCGACUCCUACGGGGGGCAGCAGUGAGGAAUAUUGCGCAAUGGGGGGAACCCUGACGCAGCAACGCCGCGUGGAGGACGAAGGUUUUCGGAUUGUAAACUCCUUAACUGGGGGAAGAGAGAGG